rnacentral:rRNA from 1 species
AUUGAACGCUGGCGGAAGGCUUUACACAUGCAAGUCGAACGAGUGGCGGACGGGUGAGUAAUGCUUGGGAAUCUAGCUUCUGGAGGGGGAUAACUACGGGAAACUGUAGCUAAUACCGCAUACCAUAGGAUGAGCCCAAGUGGGAUUAGGUAGUUGGUGAGGUAAAGGCUCACCAAGCCGACGAUCUCUAGCUGGUUUGAGAGGAUGACCAGCCACACUGGGACUGAGACACGGCCCAGACUCCUACGGGAGGCAGCAGUGGGGAAUAUUGCGCAAUGGGGGCAACCUGACGCAGCCAUGCCGCGUGAAUGAAGAAGGCCUUCGGGUUGUAAAGUUCUUUCGGUAGAGAGGCGUUAACUACAGAAGAAGCACCGGCUAACGCCGUGCCAGCAGCCGCGGUAAUGC